rnacentral:rRNA from 1 species
UCGCGGGUUGAUCCGUAGGGAACCUAAUUCCCCGUUUACGUGGAUGGUAAUUCGGGAGACCACCAUGGCGAGCAGUCUUUGGGCGUACUGACGNUGAGAGCGAAGCGUGGGAGCGACAGGAUUAGAUACCUGGUAGUCCACNCGUAANCGUGGAUGCUGAUGUGGGCCCGUCCACGGGUUCGNUGUCGGAGCUACGCGUUUAAGCAUCCCGCCUGGGGAGUACGNCGCAANGCUAAAACUCAANGNAAUUGACGGGGGCCCGCACAAGCGGCGGAGCAUGCGGAUUAUUCGAUGCACGCGAGNNANCCUACCUGGGCUGACAUGUUUCCGACCGCUCCAGAGAUGGGCUUUCCUUCGGGGCGGGUUCACAGGUGGUGCAUGGUCGUCGUCAGCUCGUGUCGUGAGAUGUGGNNUUAAGUCCCGCACNGAGCGCAACCCUCGCCCCGUGUUGCCAGCGGAUUAUGCCGGGAACUCACGGGGGACCGCCGGGGUUAACUCGGAGGAAGGUGGGGAUGACGUCAGAUCAUCAUGCCCCUUACGUCCAGGGCUUCACGCAUGCUACAAUGGCCGGUACAACGGGAUGCGACGCGGCGACGCGGAGCGGAUCCCUGAAAACCGGUCUCAGUUCGGAUCGCAGUCUGCAACUCGACUGCGUGAAGGCGGAGUCGCUAGUAAUCGCGAAUCAGCAACGUCGCGGUGAAUGCGUUCCCGGGCCUUGUACACACCGCCCGUCAAGUCAUGAAAGUGGGCAGCACCCGAAGCCGGUGGCCUAACCCCUUGUGGGAUGGAGCCGUCUAAGGUGAGGCUCGUGAUUGGGACUAAGUCGUAACAAGGUAGCCGUACCGGAAGGUGCGGCUG